AAUUUUUAGUCUAUAAGAUCCAGAAAUACCUUCGUGCAACUGGCAUUCCUAUUGAAGCUCCAUGUAUCAACUCACUAAACCGUUUUACCCGGAGACUACUUGUUUUUUCUCCCAUAACAAAACUAAUUGCGUCCAUAAAAUUAGAUUUUCCUAUAUUAGAAACAAAUAUAUAAUGCAUAAUAGGUCUGAAAUUAUUAGAAGUUCUCCAUAUACUAAUAUAAAAGAACAUAACCUACCGGAUCCAUUUGGUCCAACAACAGCAGUAAAGGAUUUUAGAGGUCCUAUAAUAAGCUUUCCUCUCUAACAGUAAAGUGGUAUAAUUGGCGCCAUAAAGUUUCCAACACAAACAAGCAUUAUACGUCAACAAUUGGUUUUCUA
rnacentral:misc_RNA from 1 species